UACAGAGGUCUCAAGCGUUGUUCGGAUUCAUUGGGCGUAAAGGGUGCGUAGGUGGCGAGGUUAGUCAGGUGUGAAAUCUCGGGGCUCAACCCCGAAACUGCACUUGAUACUGCCUUGCUAGAGUACUGGAGAGGAGAUUGGAAUUUACGGUGUAGCGGUGAAAUGCGUAGAUAUCGUAAGGAAGACCAGUGGCGAAGGCGGGUCUCUGGACAGUUCCUGACGCUGAGGCACGAAGGCCAGGGGAGCAAACGGG
rnacentral:rRNA from 1 species